GACGAACGCUGGCGGCGUGCCUAAUACAUGCAAGUUGAGCGAUGAAGAUUGGUGCUUGCACCAAUUUGAAGAGCAGCGAACGGGUGAGUAACGCGUGGGGAAUCUGCCUUUGAGCGGGGGACAACAUUUGAAAACGAAUGCUAAUACCGCAUAAUAACUUUAAACAUAAGUUUUAAGUUUGAAAGAUGCAAUUGCAUCACUCAAAGAUGAUCCCGCGUUGUAUUAGCUAGUUGGUGAGGUAAAGGCUCACCAAGGCGAUGAUACAUAGCCGACCUGAGAGGGUGAUCGGCCACAUUGGGACUGAGACACGGCCCAAACUCCUACGGGAGGCAGCAGUAGGGAAUCUUCGGCAAUGGACGAAAGUCUGACCGAGCAACGCCGCGUGAGUGAAGAAGGUUUUCGGAUCGUAAAACUCUGUUGGUAGAGAAGAACGUUGGUGAGAGUGGAAAGCUCAUCAAGUGACGGUAACUACCCAGAAAGGGACGGCUAACUACGUG
rnacentral:rRNA from 1 species